UACGUAGGGUGCAAGCGUUGUCCGGAAUUAUUGGGCGUAAAGAGCUCGUAGGCGGUUUGUCGCGUCGAAUGUGAAAACCCGGGGCUCAACCCCGGGCCUGCAUUCGAUACGGGCAGACUAGAGUUCGGUAGGGGAGUCUGGAAUUCCUGGUGUAGCGGUGAAAUGCGCAGAUAUCAGGAGGAACACCGGUGGCGAAGGCGGGACUCUGGGCCGAUACUGACGCUGAGGAGCGAAGGCGUGGGGAGCGAACAGG
rnacentral:rRNA from 1 species